rnacentral:lncRNA from 1 species
GUUUUUGGAUGUAUAUUUUGCAAGUAUCAAGAUGUAUUGUUCAUGUAUUUUAUUAGUCCGAUAAGAAUUUAAUGUAAUAUGCUUGUAAAUGAUUUUUCUGUUGGUCUGAAUGGUUAAGUCUCGACGCACCUUGCCAAUAAGCUUCCUAAUACAGGAUGAACUAUAUGAUUGUAGAUGCUUUCUACUUUGCAUUUGGUAAGGUACUGGUGUUUCAAUGUCCUUUUAAUAAUAGAGAGAAAUAGACAGGCGCACACUGAGGUUGCAACGUUGUUUAAUUUUUUAAACCCCUUUUCCUUCCUAAUUUUAUGGUAUCUAAUUGGUAGUUACCGUCUUGUCUCAUCGCUGCAACCUCCGUACAGACUCGGGCGAGGCGAAGGUCGAGAGCCGUGCGUCCUCUGAAACACAACCCAAUCACGCCACACUGCUUCUUGACACAAUGCCCACUUAACCCGGAAGUCAGCCGCACCAAUGUGUUGGAUGGAACACCGUACACCUGGCAACCGUGUCAGCGUGCAUGCGCCUGGCCCGCCACAGUAGUCGCUAGUGCGCGAUGGGACGAGGACAUCCCUGCUGGCCAAACCCUUCCCUAACCCGGAUGACGCUGGGCCAAUUGUGCGCCGCUCCAUGGGUCUCCCAGUCGGGCUGGCUGCGACAGAGCCUGGAUUCUAACCUAGAAUCUCUGAUCAAAAUUGGUACAAAGACAAAUCAAGACUUAAAAUAAAACAAAAAUAAAUGCUGCUGUAUUUUUGAGUUCAGACAAUACGUUCCAGGCCUCCCGAGUGGCACAGUGGUCUAAGGCACUGCAUCACAGUGGUCUAAGGCACUGCGGCACAGUGGUCUAAGGCACUGCAUCACAGUGGUCUAAGGCACUGCAUCACAGUGGUCUAAGGCACUGCAUCACAGUGCUAGCUGUGCCACUCAGGAGGCCUGGAACGGAUUGUCUGAACUCAAAAAUACAGCAGCAUUUAUUUUUGUUUUGUCUUUUUACCAAUUUUGAUCAGUUUAAUAGUGUAUGCACGUUUUAACAUUUUUUUCAAAUGCAAGGUACAAAUCAUAAAAAAUAAAUACAUCAUUUCUCUGACCAAUUUUACUGCAAUACUUGAAUAACUUUCACCUCAAAGCAAUGUCCAUUGCAAUGAUGUCUAAAUGUCAGGCUUUUCUACUUCUAAACCUUGUACUUUUUUCUAGUGUUUGAUGAAAAUAAUCAGGAACUUUUUUUUUCAUGUUUUAAAUCAUUAUGUUUACAAUUACAGUAUUAUGUGCAGCGGUGGUAGCUACAGACUAACAAAAGACUGAUCACAAAAAGGACCUAUACGGUAUGAUUAGCUCUCAAUAGCAUUUUUUUGAGGUAUUAUGUUUUUCUGAUGUUACGGCAGUGAAACAUCAUACUUAACGCUGGGUCAAUUUUAAGUUUGUCCAAAUACAACAGAAUAUAAGUAAAUAAUUUCUCCAUAGGAAUGCAGUUCUAUACCUGAAAUGACUGGCUAUGUAUCCACCUCAUUUUCGAAUGCUUUUAAAACACGGAAGCCAAAUGUGGAAAAUAUGGUUACAACUUCCUUCAUGCUAGCGCAUUAUCAUAAUUCAUAUAUACAGUACCAUUCAAAAGUUUGGCGACACCUACUCAUUGAAGGAUUUUUCUUUAUUUUUACUAUUUUCUACGUUGUAGAAUAAUAGUGAAGACAUCAAAACUAUGAAAUAACACAUGGAAUCAUGCAGUAACCAAAAAAGUGAUAAACAUAUCAAAAUAUAUUUGAGUUUCUUCAAAGUAGACACUCUUUGCCUUGAUAACAGCUUUGCACACUCUUGGCAUUCUCUCAACCAGCUUCACCUGGAAUGCUUUUCCAAUAGUCUUAUAGGAGUUCCCACAUAUGCUGAGCACUUGUUGGCUGCUUUUCCUUCACUCGGGGCGACGGGUAGCCUAGUGGUUAGAGUGUUGGGCCAGUAGCCAAAAGGUUUGCGUGAUCGAAUCCCUGAGCUGACAAGGCAAAAAUCUGUCGUUCUUCCCCUGAACAAGGCAGUUAACCCACUGUCCCUAGGCCGUCAUUGUAAAUAAGAAUUUGUUCUUAUAUUGGCACGAAAUGGGAUAAAACAUUUUGAAACAGGAAGGUAGUACCUGAAGUUGUUUUAAGAAUUCAGAAUUGUUUUGUGUUGCAAAAUUGUUGCUACAUUGUACCCAACUGAAUAUGGCACAGGUGAACAUAAUGCUCAUGAUAUUGGUUUGUAUUUAUUUAACCAUGUGCAUAUCAAACAUAAUUGAAUGAAGGACAUUGUGUUAUUUAUGAGUUUUUCAAAUACUCAGUGGUCUAUAUAUAUUUAUUUGCUAUGGAUCAGGUCAUUGAUAAUGCAUCAAUAUUGUACCAUGUAAUUAAUGUAAGGUAACAUAAAAUGACUGCAGAAGUCUUCCCUUGGACUGUUAUAUCCAAGUCCAGGCACUCGUGUGGGUUUGAAAGUUAAAAAAUACUUUAAUUUAUGGGCUACACCAUUAUUAAAAUCGUAUCGGCUUACUGCGUCUGAUACAAAAUGGAGGAGAUGCAGUUAUAUAGCCUUGACUCACUUUGUAUCAGACACCCUGAUGAAGGCCUAAGCCGAUACGCAUUAGUGUGUUUUAAUAAUGUUGUAGCCCAUUAAUGAAAGGCUUCCUAACUUUCAAACCCACCAGGUUCCUUGACUUUGAUUGUUUAUGCCACUUAUCACUUAUUUGAUGUUAUAAUUUUCCCAUAUGCUUUUCAAUUCAUAUUCCCCUCAAAGAGCACCUGUGGUUGUUUUGGAAUACCUGAAGCGCUUCUGCUACGGCUUUUCUUUCUUUAAGGUGUUAUAGACAUGAGUGAUAAAUAAAACUUCUCA